rnacentral:rRNA from 1 species
UACGAAGGGGGCUAGCGUUGCUCGGAAUCACUGGGCGUAAAGGGUGCGUAGGCGGGUCUUUAAGUCAGGGGGGAAAUCCUGGAGCUCAACUCCAGAACUGCCUUUGAUACUGGGAAGCUUGAGUCCGGGAGAGGUGAGUGGAACUCCGAGUGUAGAGGUGAAAUUCGUAGAUAUUCGCAAGAACACCAGUGGCGAAGGCGGCUCACUGGCCCGGUACUGACGCUGAGGCACGAAAGCGUGGGGAGCAAACAGG